ensembl:lncRNA
UCCCUGAUACCGCCUACGCCCCGCCCCUCGCCGGCCCCGCCCUCGCUCCGCCUGCGCAGGCGCAAUUUCCCGCAAACCCGGAAGCGGAGGGAGGGGCGCAGCCCUUGGUUUUUAUGUCACGACUGGGUAUUUUAGACGCCCCUCACGCCCCGGAUCCGCCACAUCCAAGGUUCAGGGGUCGUCAAUUACGUUAAGAUCCCCUUCAUCCACUCGUCCGCCCUCGGACGAGAAUCCAGACUCCACUGUAGGACUUUACAAAAGGGGGCUCCGGAGGUGGGGUGACCCUCCACAACUGGUCCAAUCUGAGGGAAGAUACAGGCCUUCCCCUCCGAGGCUGACCAGACAUUGUCCUGUCCAGCGAGGUGCUGUGAUGUUGUGGAGGCCACUCCCUGUGGUUGAGUCCCAUUUUCAAGCGGGGACUGAGUUGUGAGCUAUCGGCAGCCAAACUCCUGGCUGUGGAGGAGUUUGUGUCUGAAUCCUGAGAGGCAGACUGAGGAAGUUUGUUCUAUGUAGUAACCUCUAUGGGGUCUCUAAUGAGUGCGAGGACCAUUGACCCAUAAGAGGUUAAAAGGAAGAAUUUCGCAGACCAUUUUGGGGGUAAUCUGCUGUUUUAAGUGGGUGGAUCUCAUUAUUACUGCCCAAGCUUUACUGUCAUGUGGGUUCUGCCGGAUACAGAUGACAUCUUAGAAAUGUUUCCAAGAUGGAAGAUAUUAGAGUCUCCGUGGAAAACGUGGAUUGUUGGAGACAUCACUCUUGCAUUAGGAUGUUAUGGCUGUGCCUGACUUUAGGGUGGGGUCUCCAAGAAGGAGGGCUUUCCUGAUGGCUCGUACAGUAAAGAGUCUGCCUGCAGUGCGGGAGACCCAGGUUUGAUCCCUGGGUCAGGAAGAUCCCCUGGAGGACAGCAUGGCAACCCACUCCAGGAUUCUUGCCUGGAGAAUCUCCAUGGGCAGAGGAGCCUGGCAGACUCCAGUCUUUGGGGUCACAAAGAGUCCAACAUGACUGAGCGACUAACACACACAGUCCAAGAAGGAAUAUACUGGAUCCUGGGUUGGACUGUCUUCUCAAGACCAGUCUUUGCCUGAAGAAGAAACCUUGAAGAGGAGGAAGAAGAAAGAACAGGAGUCAGGCAUGGCUCUUUCUCAGGUAAGGUCAUGUUCUCAGUGGAUUCUCAGUCUGUCCUUCCUGAAAUGCCCUUCUCUGGACUCACAAAUCGUGUCUGACUCUGAAGUGUCCUGUCUGAGUCCUCUAUGUGCACACUCACCUGGGGCCUUCCCUCAGGGCCUGUUGUCUCCACUUAGAUCCCAUCUCCCCAUGACCUGGUGACCUGGCCCUUGUGAGCAGGCUCCCCUGGGCGCCAUCCUGGGCAGGGCUUCUCACCCACGGGUUGUAGACGGGGUGUCUCAGUGCUGUAGGGAAGCAGAGAUUGCUUAGGGCCCAUCUAGAUGUGCUGUCUGCUCUCUGUCAACCAGGAUGGAAGUCACGUUCUAAUGUGUAGGAAUGGUUGGAAAAUUCUGGAAAAGGAAAGUAAUAAGAGGAAACCAGCUCUGCCUGAUUUAAUAAUGCAUUCAAAGCUAAGCAAGUGAAUCAUGGUGUUUUUGGUUUCAAAAUAUUAAUGAUUCAGAAUGCAGAAGAAAGUUCAGAAACAGACAUCAGGGAUUCAGGAUGCUUCGUUCGAUAAUUGGCUUUAAAACGUGGAGUCAGUCUAAGUAUCUAACAGGAGGUUUUAAAAAAUUAUUCUCAGUACAUUCAUCCCACAGGGAUAAUGGUAUUCCUGUAAGGACUGCCUCCUAGCAGGUCUUUUAGGUAAAAAACAAAGACAGCGGAGCACAGAACUUUAUCUUUGUCAUCAGAGAGGCUAUAGCCAAAUUCUGGCUCCACCAUUAUUAAUAAAUUAUUAAAUUUUCUUUUAAGAUCAUGUGAGAUAUUUAUUUAUUUAUAUUUUUGUGGUCAAAAUUCCAACAAAGCAGCGGCUUAACAUCUUCUUCUCUGUCACCAUGCCUCACGUCUCAUUGAGGAACCACUGUUGUCAAUUUUGUGGCAAGACUCAGCUCAAAUUUUGUAACACUGCGUUUCACAUCAUUAUGAGAUUUUUAGGAAAAAUUCUUCAAGACAUGUUUGUGGUAAUCCUUUAUUAUGCACAUUUUAAAAAUGAUCACAGCAUGUGGCUGGAAGUGGUUUUCACAUUAGUAAACACAGAUACUUUGAUCUUUACCAGGACAUUCUCUUAAUGUAGACACAAGGGACCUUUGCAGUUUUUUGUUGACAUAGAGAAUGUGUCAGUGGGUACCUCUGAGCCUACUGACUUUUCAGCAGAUGUCUGAGGAUUUCUUGGGCAUCUUAACAUGUGACUGCUGGGACAAGAAUGGCACAUUUGGGACUGCCAUGGUGGCCCAGUGGUAAAGAAUCUGCCUGCUAAUUCAGGAUACACGGGACCGAUCCCUGAUCCAGGAAGGUCCCACAUGCCUUGGAGCAACUAAGCCCAUGCAACACAACUAUUGAGCCUGUUCUCUGGAGCCUGGGAGCUGCUACUACUGAACCCAUGAGCCCUAGAGCCUGUGCUUCUAAACAAAAGAAGCCAUCACAAUAAGACGCCUGUGCGCUGCAACUGGAGAGUAGCCCCUACUCACCACAACUAGAGAAAAGCCUGUACAGCAGUGAAAACCCAGCACAGCAAAAAAAAAAGAAUGGCGCAUUUCAUAUUUUGUUAGAUUUUGUCAGAUGUCCUCCCCUAAAGCUGCAAAGGUUCCAUCCCCACUGCCAACCUCUGAGAUUGCCUUCAAUGUAAGCAAAGCUUGAUACUGUAUUCUUUUCAUCUUCUGAAAAUUUGGGGGGAAAUCACAAUCCUUUGUAUCUCUGUUUUCCAACUACUUGUGAGUCAGUUUCGUGCUUUUAUGGAAAUAAAACAUGAUUUUCAUACUUUGUU